CAUGAGUGACAUCUAACCAUAUAUCAUGGCUACCCAAGCUAAUGUAGAAGUUGUUCAGAGAACCUAUUCAGUUGGAAUUACAAUGCAAUUCGAUCCUUCUCUAAAAUAAUACUCUCAAUCACAUCACUAGGGUAUGGAUAUAUUAUGUCAAACCCCUAAUGUGAUUAUUCCUUCUUAUAUGAUUCAAUUGAGUCGUAUAGGAACGCUUUCCUUUAUAACGCUCGAUACUUCGGCCGAAGAUUCCAGAAUCAUAUCUUAGAGUAUUCAUCAUCUCUUAACAAGGAUUAGAGAUUCCUUGUUGCGCAUUCACUUGCCUUCAUGACUAAGUGGCUUAACCCCGACUAUGCCGUGGACACCCGCGGAUGGAGUGACUUUGACAUAAUCAAAGAUCAAGUACUUAACCACAAGACAACGAUGAUGCCUCAGGUCAAAGGACUACUUAGAUUAUUCCAACUAUUAGAGUUACUUGCUUGACAUGUGAGUAGACCUCCAUGCAAGUACUCUCGUUCGAUUGUGUUCAGUGAACUCAUUCCCUUAAUGAGCACCCACAUACUUGUCUUAGUGUCAUUACACGAAUGGGAUGAGAUUUUCCAUCCUUCUAAUUGAAGCGGACAUAGUAUGUACCGGUCUAUGCAUUGUCAGUAUCCCUCCGACAAUCCUAUGACCAAGAACCUUUUGGACAUGAUGGUUAUGUGAAGAAGGUUUCUGUAGUCUAACUUCAUUAGAUUACUUCUUCAAUCGAUCCAUUGUCCAUGGAUUCACCAUUUAGGACAUAU
rnacentral:lncRNA from 1 species